GCUUCAUCAUGGAGGCUAUUUGUUCAGAGUAAUCUGAGAAUGUUUCUCUUUAUGAAAUCAUGGCAACUGAAUCUGAGCUGAGAUGAUGAAGUGAGUGGACUCUGGGAGGAGUUCCUGCCAUGAAGUCAUUCAUUAGCUUUUCUGAUCUCUGGUCACUGGGAAGGAAUAAUUUGGGAGAAUUUGCAUAAGCAAGUGGACAAAACACCCAAAGGAAACCAGUGUGAAUGGCUCAAUUGACAAUCAAGAGGAUCAAGAGAAUUUACAGCGAAGCAGGCUUAUCGUAAUAGAGGGAAGAAUUCUUUAGGAUGAUGUAAGGCCUUGAAAGGAUCACGGGGCACCAGGCCACCCUCUGCUGCCCUGACUUCACAGAUGGAUGUUCCUGUGACCAUCGUCUCCCUUCUUAUUCAGAAGGGAAGAAGACUCAGACUGUACCAAGGAUUUGCUAUGCAUUGCUCUACAACCUUGAGAAGAUAAAUGACUUUACUUUGAGGAUUAUAACAACUUAUCCAUUGCACAGAGGCGUUGUGAAGAUUAAUUAAUUCACGUUUUUAAGGUGAUUUGAGGAUCUGCUAAUGAAAGAUGCUA